rnacentral:rRNA from 1 species
GGGAGCUUGCUCCUGGUGGCGAGUGGCGAACGGGUGAGUAAUAUAUCGGAACGUACCCUAGAGUGGGGGAUAACGCAGCGAAAGUUGCGCUAAUACCGCAUACGAUCUACGGAUGAAAGUGGGGGAUCGCAAGACCUCAUGCUCAUGGAGCGGCCGAUAUCUGAUUAGCUAGUUGGUAGGGUAAAAGCCUACCAAGGCUUCGAUCAGUAGCUGGUCUGAGAGGACGACCAGCCACACUGGAACUGAGACACGGUCCAGACUCCUACGGGAGGCAGCAGUGGGGAAUUUUGGACAAUGGGCGCAAGCCUGAUCCAGCAAUGCCGCGUGAGUGAAGAAGGCCUUCGGGUUGUAAAGCUCUUUUGUCAGGGAAGAAACGGUGGACUCUAAUACAGAUCACUAAUGACGGUACCUGAAGAAUAAGCACCGGCUAACUACGUGCCAGCAGCCGCGGUAAUACGUAGGGUGCAAGCGUUAAUCGGAAUUACUGGGCGUAAAGCGUGCGCAGGCGGUUUGGUAAGACAGAUGUGAAAUCCCCGGGCUCAACCUGGGAAUUGCAUUUGUGACUGCCCGGCUAGAGUGUGUCAGAGGGGGGUAGAAUUCCACGUGUAGCAGUGAAAUGCGUAGAGAUGUGGAGGAAUACCGAUGGCGAAGGCAGCCCCCUGGGAUAACACUGACGCUCAUGCACGAAAGCGUGGGGAGCAAACAGGAUUAGAUACCCUGGUAGUCCACGCCCUAAACGAUGUCUACUAGUUGUUGGGUCUUAAUUGACUUAGUAACGCAGCUAACGCGUGAAGUAGA